AACCGCGAUAAGGGGACACCGAGUGCCAGCAUCCUAUGUUGGCUGUCCAUAUGUCUAAAUCACAUGUGUUAGCAAGGGCCGGGCAAGACCGGUGCCAGCCGCCGCGGUAACACCGGCGGCCCGAGUGGUGGCCACUAUUAUUGGGUCUAAAGGGUCCGUAGCCGGUUUGGUCAGUCUUCCGGGAAAUCUGACGGCUCAACCGUUAGGCUUUCGGGGGAUACUACCAGGCUUGGGACCGGGAGAGGUAAGAGGUACUACGGGGGUAGGAGUGAAAUCUUGUAAUCCCUGUGGGACCACCAGUGGCGAAGGCGUCUUACCAGAACGGGUCCGACGGUGAGGGACGAAAGCUGGGGGCACGAACCGGAUUAGAUACCCGGGUAGUCCCAGCUGUAAACUAUGCUCGCUAGGUGUCAGGGACGGUGCGACCGUUUCUGGUGCCGCAGGGAAGCCGUGAAGCGAGCCACCUGGGAAGUACGGUCGCAAGGCUGAAACU
rnacentral:rRNA from 1 species